CUUAAUACCGGAUGUCAUUAAACACCACAGAAGAAGAAGUCUCCUCUCCCACGGUCCUCUGCAGUGGUAAAGUCACCUCUGUUGUUAGCUGUCAACCUGCUGUUACACUAUGGCUCCUCCAGUUGCUGUGUCACCUUUGAUUAAGACAGCAAGGUACUCAGCUUUGAUUGCUGGCAUCAUUUAUGGCAAAAGGAGAUAUGAUCACCUGAAGCCUAUUGCUGCAGAGGAGAGGAGGAUCGAGGAGGAAGAAAAGAAGGCCCGCGAGGAGCAGGAGCGCAUUGCCAAGCAGCUAGCAGAAGCAAAUGAAGACACCAUCCUGAAAUAAAGCUGUGGAGUUCUGUGUGAGGAUGUCCACUUACUUGUGCAAUUAUCCUGACUCUGGUCCCUGAAGGGAAGGUUAUGUCACAACAACCUCAUGCCUUCUCUGAAUAAGAACACCCCUCUCCGGAUUACCAGCCACAUUACUUAAGUUUGUUACAUGAUGCGAGAUAAAACUCUAACUCAAUCUUGUAAUAUUGCAAAUGCAGCUGUAUUUAUAAGUUAAGCUCAUGUUUAUGAAGAAGUAAUGGCAUAAAUACAGAAUUACAAAAUCCCUGUAGUUUUUUUUUUUUGUUUGUUUAUCCAUGUUUGACCUUUGGAUAUAAACUCCUAGUUCCUGUCAAAGCAGUGACGGGGCAGAUGUGUUAAUAAAAUGAAAACUUUUCAAUUUCAAAA